AUACUGACACACAUACACUGACAGAAAUACUGACACCCACACACUGACAGAUAUACUGACACCCACAUACACUGAGAAAUACUGACACCCACAUACACUGAGAAAUACUGACACACACACACAGGCACAUACACUGACACACACAGACUGAUAUACUGACACACACACACACAGACAUACUGGCACACAGACAGAUAUACUGACACAUGCAUACACAUGCACUAACA